rnacentral:rRNA from 1 species
AUUGAACGCUGGCGGCAGGCCUAACACAUGCAAGUCGAACGAGUGGCGGACGGGUGAGUAAUGUAUGGGAAACUGCCCGAUGGAGGGGGAUAACUACUGGAAACGGUAGCUAAUACCGCAUACCAUCGGAUGUGCCCAGAUGGGAUUAGCUGGUUGGUGGGGUAACGGCUCACCUAGGCGACGAUCCCUAGCUGGUCUGAGAGGAUGACCAGCCACACUGGAACUGAGACACGGUCCAGACUCCUACGGGAGGCAGCAGUGGGGAAUAUUGCACAAUGGGCGCAAGCCUGAUGCAGCCAUGCCGCGUGUAUGAAGAAGGCCUUAGGGUUGUAAAGUACUUUCAGCGGGGAGGCGUUACCCGCAGAAGAAGCACCGGCUAACUCCGUGCCAGCAGCCGCGGUAAUUC